CCCCCCCAAAUUCUAGGGUUUUUGCCAUUAAUCCAGUGUAGAGACGAAAGCAGACAAAUCAGGCAAGAGUAAAUCCAGAAAAUCCAAAGGAACCUAAACGUUCCCGGAAAACAUAUUGAGAGAAAACACAGUAAAGGAAAUUACAAGGAAACAUUAGGAGGAAACAUAGUAGAAGAAAACACAUAGGAAUCACAGUAGAAACACAUAGGAGUUACAGUAGAGUGAAUACAGUAAGUGUAACACAUAGGAAUCACAGUAGAACAAGUAAAAUCAAAGAACCACUAGUCGAAGAAGAUGAACAGUUUUUGAAAGCAAUAUUUUAAAAAGAAACUUGGAGGAAUCGUUUGAAAUGAACACAGUAAGUGAACACAUAGGAAUCAGAGUAGAACAAAUAAAAUCAAAGAACCCUAAGUUGAAGAAGAUGAACAGUUUUUGAAAGCUAAGUUUUAAAAAGAAACUUGGAGAAAUCGUUUGAAAACCUUAAAAUAAACACGAAUCUAGAGCAGAUCUAGAGAAAUUAGGAAAACCUCGAAAUGGCUAGGGUUCAGAAGAACCCUAGAAGCGACAAAGACCUGUAUAAGGGUCUGUUCCGAGUCGAAUGAUUCAGAGAUGGACUCAUAGGGCUAGGAUAUGCCAGAGCCGAGCCGGAGAUGGUCGUAAAACGUGAAUCGGCAGGGAUCUGAGCAAAGUCCUUCAAGCUCGGACCUUGAAUCUUCAAGUAACAUGGGCAUGAGGGCACAUGGGGGUGAGUAUAGGCCACUAGGGCUUGGGAUGCCAUUUAUUCCGGUUGAGACAAGGUGGAAACCAGCGGGAUGAGGCUAGGGAUUCGGAGAGGGUUAGAGAGGAAUUAGGAGACGAAGGGGUUUUAGGGCAGC
rnacentral:lncRNA from 1 species